rnacentral:rRNA from 1 species
GCCCGAUGGAGGGGGAUAACUACUGGAAACGGUAGCUAAUACCGCAUAACGUCGCAAGACCAAAGAGGGGGACCUUCGGGCCUCUUGCCAUCGGAUGUGCCCAGAUGGGAUUAGCUAGUAGGUGGGGUAACGGCUCACCUAGGCGACGAUCCCUAGCUGGUCUGAGAGGAUGACCAGCCACACUGGAACUGAGACACGGUCCAGACUCCUACGGGAGGCAGCAGUGGGGAAUAUUGCACAAUGGGCGCAAGCCUGAUGCAGCCAUGCCGCGUGUAUGAAGAAGGCCUUCGGGUUGUAAAGUACUUUCAGCGAGGAGGAAGGUGUUGUGGUUAAUAACCGCAGCAAUUGACGUUACUCGCAGAAGAAGCACCGGCUAACUCCGUGCCAGCAGCCGCGGUAAUACGGAGGGUGCAAGCGUUAAUCGGAAUUACUGGGC